AACUCUUGCGGCUUCCAACCUGUGUCUGUCCAGAUGGCAGCCUUGUCUCUGGGAAUCCGUGUUAAUCUUGAAAUGCUGCAUUAGCUUUCCUGUCAUUUAUUUACUUUAAUAGAGCAGAUGCCGCUGUGUGGUGUUGAAGUACACAGACCCCCACUCCCUCCAGAAAAGCGAAACGCGAGUGGGUUCCAAACGUGCUUUUGUGCAUUGCCAGAAGCACCACGGUUUCCCACGUGAUAUGGCAAAUUCAUUACCUCCUUUAUGAACUUCGACGUAGAGGUUGCGAUUUAUGAAUCAAUGAAAAGAGUUACUCUUUGCAAUGUGGGUCCGGGGUUACAUUACCAAAGACCUGCACCCUUCAGUUCCGUUUUUUGUGUCUUGAAUUUUAUGUAGGAGAUUCUCCAUCUCCCACCUGCAAGUGAUCUCUCUCUGGGUGUGUGUGUGUGUGUGUGUGUGUGUGUGUGUGUGUGUGUGUGUUGGAGAAUCAGGUAGGAAAAGUCAAUUCUUUGCUGCAUUCUGCGGAACAGUAUAAAAAAAGGGGGGAUGGAAUUGGUGGAAUUAACAUACACAGCAUCAAAAAAGUCAUAAGAUUAUGGAACCACUGAAGGAUCCAUUUUCCACGUGAAUAAUUGUGUUUUCCUGGUGUUGAGAAGGGGGCUAUAUUAACAGUUUCUGGGAUUGGUUGUGGUAAUUAAUUUUAGAUUGCCACAUGGGACAAUUGAAUCUUUUUUUUUUUUUUGGUUCUUUUUUUUCGGAGCUGGGGACCGAACCCAGGGCCUGCCUUGCGCUUCCUAGGUAAGCGCUCUACCACUGAGCUAAAUCCCCAGCCCCAAUUGAAUCUUUUAUGAUGAUAAUUUUGCCAGAUUGCCGAGCUCCACAUAUUUUGGGGUCAUGGUUCAUUGACAGAGUCUAGGGUUUCAGGAGUGGUGUGAUUCCCCAAGACCCGUUCAUUCACUCAGUCUGUCAGGUGUUCUCGCAGCAGCUGACUGGAACCAGGGGUACAGCAGUGAUCCAGACAGUUCCCACAGCAGGGCUUCAAAUAAGAGCCACAAAGGGUGUGGUGGUGGCACUCUCAAGGCAGAGACAAGCAGAUCUCUGAGUUUGAAGCCAGCCUGGUCUACAGAGUGAGUUCCAGGACAGCCAGGGCUACACAGAGAAACCCUGUAUCCAAAACCUAACACACCCCCCACCCAAAAAAAAAAAAAUAACCCAAACCAACCUUCACAGAACAAGAAAGAGCAGCAGGGCAGAGCCCAGGCAGGGUUCUGUACCUAGUGAGAGGCCGAGGUGAAGGAUGUGUACUGGGAGCUCAUCUCCUUAGGGCGUCUGCCCAGAUGCAUUAAUUGCACAUGGUGUGUGUAUGCUUUUUGGCAAAUGCAUAGACAUCCAUUCCUGGCCAAAGAGAGGUUGUUACCGAGGUGCUAUUAAGAUUGGGCGUGUCUGUUCCCACUGCCCUCCCAGAGUCCGAGCUGAGCAUCAUCACAGUGAUCUGCAGUUCUGAGUGUAGGCAAGGCUGCUGUCCAUCUGCCGAGAGUGAAUGAAAGUGAAAAUCAGCAAAGGUCCUGCCCUGCUUGGAAUGUGAAUUGUCCAGUGACCACUGAGAUAACAGGCAUGUACCAUCACACCAGGCUUAGACUGUGAGGACUUUAAAGUGAAAAACUUACUGUUUAUUUCUGCCAUUUGAUUGGCAUCUUCAUACAAUGGGAAAAGAUCUUCAUUGACUCACAAAAGGUGAGUUUGAAGUCGAGGUGAACCUGUGGAACAGUGGAGGGCUGGGGGCCUGGACUUAGACAUGGAUGCAUUGGAAUGUCAGCAGCUUUGGAAACAUUUACAGGAACACUUAGGAUGAAUUGAAAUUUUAUUCUGUAAAUAUGGAAGUUUACAUAAUUUAUUCACUUGUCAAAAUAAGGUGGAGAGCAAACCUGCAGUAGCUUUAUUGUUUGAAAUGGAUUAAACAUAAGUUGUGAGAUAUGCCUCGAUUUAGAUCCCUGCUAUUCUGCUUUUGUGUGAAGAUGAAUGAGAUGUGUUGGUCUUGGUUUCGGAGCCUGGCUCAGAGAGUGACUGACUUCAGCCUGUUCUGCAUGUGCCUCCAGAAUCGUUUACGUGCUGUCCGCUGUUGGCACACCUUCAGCUUGAUGUGCUGGCUGGUGCUCCUCAGUGAAAUUCUCUUCUCACAGCCUGGUGCGUGUAGUUGAUGAGAUGUUGAGUUCUGUACUUAAUAAUCAGCAAACGGCAGGGAAAGUGGCCCAUCUAUGCAUGCAGAGGACUCUGGUUGGCUAGCUAAUCCAGGUGCUCCCACUGGGAGUUCCUUAGCUGCAGCACUGGCUGAAGCUGGCCGCUGGCUCUGGUUGGUUGUGGGAAUCCUAGGUGGGAACGACUUACUUGGGAGGGAGGGGAAUUGGAUAGAGCAGAAACAAGGAGGUUGAGUGAAGGCUUCUCAUCAUGAGAUGGCACUGGCUUGGCUGCUUGCUAAGCAGGGAGGUGUGUGUGUGUGUGUGUGUGUGUGUGUGUGUGUGUGUGUGUGUGUGUAGGUGAACUGGACCCUGAAGCAAAAACUUUAAACCACUCUUUGAAGCAGUCUCAGGUAAACCUGCCUAUUUUGCCUUUUCCUGCUCCUCCUGACUGCUGUGUGUGUGUGUGUGAGUGUGUGUGUGUGUGUGUGUGUGUGUGUGUGUGUGUGUGUGCCACUUAGCAUCGUUCCAGAAGAGGAAGGGGCACAGUCUUAAAGCUUAGCUUUAUUUGAAGGAAUGUGGAGAAGUAAGGAGGUCACUGCCUUCCCUUCCUAUCCACCCCCCCCCCCCAACUUCUUUCUGUGUUUGGAACUCCUGAGUCUUCUGAUCCAUUAAUGGCUGAGAUUAAAAGUGGUCUCCACCAUUCUUGGUGUACUUCCUUUCUGUGGUCAUCAGGAUUGAUAUUUUGAUUUUAUGUCUAUGGUGAGAAACUGCUUCCCAUAAAACAUGUUGUGAAAUGCCAGAAGGAUGUUUAGGGACAUUUAAGAAACUUUGCUGGUCUGUCCUGAUCCCAAAUCAAAAUUCUUUAUGUGGAGGCAGUGGAUGGAACUUGGGUGCCAUAUUCCUCAGAUGCCACCAUCCACUCACCCCACUUCUUUCUUUCUCUUUUUGGCAAUGCUUAGCCUGGAGCUUUCUAAUGAAGCCUGGUGUUUGAUUUUGGAAUUAAUUUUGGGUGAUUGUUCAUGCACACACACUAGAAGCCUGCCCAGUUUGUCACAGGUCAUGUCCCUGUGGGAUCAUGGAAUGGAGACUCUGGUGAAGAAGUGGAGUCUUGGGCUGUGUAUUCCAUACGCCUGUUUUCUGCUCUGAUCCCCAAGCCAGGAUCCAGGUGACAGUCCAGUUUGUCCCUUCAGUCACUAUCAUGAUUGUUUCAAAAGUUGACCAAUAAGCAUGGAGAGUUGGAUGCUCUAAGAUAAUUGGCAAGAUGACCGGGUCACAGGGGUAGGUAAUUAGGUGGCCAGCAGGUUGUGUUUAUGAGAUCAGAGCUGUGUUCUCAACCUUCCUGAUGCUGAGACCUUUAAUACAGUCGUUCAUGCUGUGGUGAUUCCCACCCAUAACGUUAUUUUAUUGCUGUAUCAUAACUGUAAUUUUGCUAGUUAUGAAUCAUAAUGUAAUAUCUGAUAUGCAGGCAAUCAAUAUGUGACGUCUGUGGGUGUUGUUAGAGGGUAAAGUGAUAUAGUUAUUAGGCAUGAAAUUAUAUAUAAGACACAGUCUCUUGCUAAUCUUGGACACUCACCACAAGUAAAGGUACUGUGCUGAA
rnacentral:sRNA from 1 species